CGUUAUUCAGACAAUCUUUUUUGAGUCAUUCCAACUCCCGCCUGACAUCAACCCUCCAGAUAGGGACCUCUGGAGAUGGAGAUAGGAAAUUACGAGUUGGUGGUACAUAGCUGCCAAGGAGAGCGGUGGCGUUCAGAUAGAUCUCGAGAAUUGUCCGUAACCAUGACUUUCCUUCAGGAAUGUGUUGGAGUAUAACAGGUAGAGUCCGCUUGGUGCGGGGAUAGCAAGCGUUCGAGAUGAUAGCUGAAGCUUGGACGGAACGCCUGGCGCUUUUUCGGAAAGAUGGCUUGUGGGGAUUAGCACCUGGCGUGGCGUUUUUUCCUUUUCGUCAAUGUACCGUAGAGGGAUAUCUACCAU
rnacentral:sRNA from 1 species